rnacentral:misc_RNA from 1 species
GGAAGACGACGAUCUGUGAUCAGUCCCCCGCCCCCUGUGCAAUCAGCAUGUAAUCAGCUGAUACAGCAACUAAGUAACAUUGAAAUGGGGCUGGAAGAUGGAAGCCUGACUGGUUGGGGCAAGACAACCAGACGGCCCCGUCGGCAAAGAUGUCCGGCCGGUAACCCUCCGGCUGUCCCUUUAACUUAAUCAACGGUAGGAGGCUUUGAUUUAUUAAUUGAGCAUAUGAUGUUAUAGAGGAAAGCUGGGAAGUUAUUUGUAUGGCUCUAGGUUGAGAUUUAAGAUCCAUGGAGCAUAG